AGCGAACGCUGGCGGCAGGCCUAACACAUGCAAGUCGAACGAAGUCUUCGGACUUAGUGGCGGACGGGUGAGUAACACGUGGGAACGUGCCUUUAGGUACGGAAUAACUCAGGGAAACUUGUGCUAAUACCGAAUGUGCCCUUCGGGGGAAAGAUUUAUCGCCUUUAGAGCGGCCCGCGUCUGAUUAGCUAGUUGGUGGGGUAAUGGCCCACCAAGGCUACGAUCAGUAGCUGGUCUGAGAGGAUGACCAGCCACAUUGGAACUGAGACACGGUCCAGACUCCUACGGGAGGCAGCAGUGAGGAAUAUUGGGCAAUGGGGGCAACCCUGACCCAGCCAUGCCGCGUGAGUGAAGGAGGUUUUCGGAUUGUAAAGCUCUUUCGGGUGAGAAGAUAAUGACGGUAUCACCUAAAGAAGCCCCGGCAAACUUCGUGCCAGCCGCCGCAGUAAGAC
rnacentral:rRNA from 1 species